CUGGGCAUGACCCAACAUGUGCGAAGCCUUGUCAGACCACUCUGCUGAGCUCUUUCUGUAAAAUGCACCUGAGCAUCGUUGUUGGGUUCUUUCGCCAGCGUCUGCUUCGUCGCCGUUUCAUGGAAUCUCCACCAUUUCCUCAAAAUACACUGCACAGCCAAAGGACAUCACGCAUAGUCAAGGGCAAAAUUCCAAGUAUCAGAAGACGAUUGCAAGGCUUCGAAGACAGCAGGUGAAGACCCCCAACACAAAGUGCUUAAUUGCAGCUCUUUAAUGACGGACACACUGCCUUACACAUUCGAGAUAAAGAUGUUGGUGCGUGCUCAAUUAUUUUUGUGGCCAUUUUAUUUCGGCACGCUACCAUUCACAUAAUUUUGCUGCCCUAAUCCACCUUCCUUCGCAAAGUACAAGAAAAACGUCAUAUUUUUUUUCCUUCUAAAACAAUCCCAUUUUAAGCAAAUUAAUUGUUGUCGUCUAUUUGCAGUUUUCUUUUUCAUUAUCUGGAUAGUUGCAACACGUCUUCCAUGUGUUUCGCUUGUGCAAAGUUAUUGCCAUCACGCCAUUCAUUUUCAACUAUUCUCCAUUAUACCGGAGUCACACGACCACUUGCGAUCGCGAACAAGUCCGAUCCGGAUUGAAAUUCGCGAUAGAUAUUGGCGCCAUCGUGCAGCUUGCGCAAAAGAAUCAAUCGUGACUGAGAAAUUCAAAUAGGAUUGGGCUUGAUCGCUAUUAAAAGUGCGCCGUCUGACACCCGUAUUACUUACAUUUCGCUGUUUCUUCCCGUUUCCAUGUAUCCGCUUCUUACAAUCUUGCUGCAACAAAUUGUUGUCUGCUUUUUUCGUGUU